GCCGGAGUAGCACAGCGGUAGUGCAACCGCCUUGUAAGCGGUAGGUCGCGGGUUCAAUCCCUGCCUCCGGCACCA
rnacentral:tRNA from 1 species